rnacentral:rRNA from 1 species
CCUGAUGGGAGCACGCCGCGUGAGCGAAGAAGGUCUUCGGAUCGUAAAGCUCUGUUGUAAGGGAAGAACAAGUGCAGUAGUAACUGGCUGCACCUUGACGGUACCUUACUAGAAAGCCACGGCUAACUACGUGCCAGCAGCCGCGGUAAUUA